rnacentral:rRNA from 1 species
UACGUAGGGUGCAAGCGUUAAUCGGAAUCACUGGGCGUAAAACGUGCGCAGGCGGUUUUGUAAGUCUGAUGUGAAAUCCCCGGGCUCAACCUGGGAAUUGCAUUGGAGACUGCAAGGCUAGAAUCUGGCAGAGGGGGGUAGAAUUCCACGUGUAGCAGUGAAAUGCGUAGAUAUGUGGAGGGACACCGAUGGCGAAGGCAGCCCCCUGGGUCAAGAUUGACGCUCAUGCACGAAAGCGUGGGGAGCAAAC